CCCCUCUCAGGAUCGCACCUGGAGAGUUUCCAGUACUCUACCAGUCUCAGCUACUGGAGGGAGAGUUGUGCAGAAGCCUAUCCAUUCCAUUCCUAGCUUGGGCAGUGGAUAGUGAAUGGAAGGCAAUCUGCUACAAGU
rnacentral:snoRNA from 1 species